rfam:Flavonifractor plautii ATCC 29863 genomic scaffold Scfld72, whole genome shotgun sequence.
UUUUUCCUGCUCGGUGCGUGACGGGUUUUAUUUAAACCCACAUCUCUGAAACGGGAUGCCCACCUCAUGGCGUGGACUGCAGGCCUCCCGGCGCCCCUCCGAGGGACGGCUGGAAGUUGGAAGCAACGAAGCGACAUGGAGGCAACCCACCUGCCACUUUGUGCAGGUUUUAAAUGGAUCCGCACGGCCAGAGCGGGGCCCCC